rnacentral:rRNA from 1 species
GACGAACGCUGGCGGCGUGCUUAACACAUGCAAGUCGAACGGAAAGGCCCUGCUUGCAGGGUACUCGAGUGGCGAACGGGUGAGUAACACGUGGGUGAUCUGCCCUGCACUUCGGGAUAAGCCUGGGAAACUGGGUCUAAUACCGGCUAGGUGCCAUUUUUAGUGUGAUGGUUGGAAAGUUUUUUCGGUGUAGGAUGAGCUCGCGGCCUAUCAGCUUGUUGGUGGGGUAAUGGCCUACCAAGGCGGCGACGGGUAGCCGGCCUGAGAGGGUGGACGGCCACAUUGGGACUGAGAUACGGCCCAGACUCCUACGGGAGGCAGCAGUGGGGAAUAUUGCACAAUGGGCGCAAGCCUGAUGCAGCGACGCCGCGUGGGGGAUGACGGCCUUCGGGUUGUAAACUCCUUUCGCUAGGGACGAAGCUUUUUGUGACGGUACCUAGAGAAGAAGCACCGGCUAACUACGUG